rnacentral:lncRNA from 1 species
CUAUAAUAUGUACUAUAAUUAAAUUAAGAUUGAUAGUAUAUUUCUUUAUUCGUUAAAAAAUAUAAUAUUAAUUAGAAUAUUUUUUUAUCAUCACAUAAUAACUUUUGUUAUUUUAUAUUAUUAUAUUAUCCGUGCAUCGCACGGGUCAAAAACUAGUUAUUUAUAAGUACAAUAUUUUUUUAUUAGGGUUAAUUUCAUACAUGUCCCUGCAAAUAUAGUGAAUAGCAAAUAUAUCCCUACAAAGUUCAACUUUCAUUUGUUAUCCCUACAAAAGUCCUGAUAUUUUCAAAUAUGUCCCUACCGUUAUAAUCCGUUAGAAAAAGUUAGUUAACCAUAGGUUAAAUAUUUAAUCAUAGUUAGUUUUUGACAUUUUUACCCCUUAUAUUAUACUAGUAUGGCUUUUGGAGGGAUAUAUUUGUAAUGGCAAAAUUGAAAAUAUAAAUGAUUCUCUAACGAUUUUCUAAUAGUAACAAACCGAGGGACAUAUUUGAAAACAUUAGGACUUUUACAGGAACAAUAUAUGAAAGUUGAACUUUAUAGAGAUAUAUUUGUUGUCGUUCACUAUGUUUGCAGGAACAUGUAUGAAAUUAAUCUAUUUUUAUUAUAUUCAACCAUACAAGAUGCAUAUAUGUAAGGACUGAGAUUUUUGACAGUGCAACUAAACUCUCUGUUGAUGAUGUUUAUGUGUGUAAUUUAAUUACAUAAGUACUCGUCAAGUUUCAGGAGAAACUGAGCUAAAACGGAGAAGUUACGCGAUUAUUAGUUUUCACUUAAGUGAAUAGUAACUCCGGUUUUUUUGGUGAAACCACGGAGUAGAGCUGGCUUUCGGCGCGUAUCGGACUCCGUUCAUAGCGAUCCAAUAGCUCGUUUUGAACGGUUCAGCUAUUCUGGAACCAAUGGCACUGANCCUCGUGGUAGCGUUUCUUAAAGAAUAAAGGUUUCCGUGUAGGGAACAGUUUUCAAAAGAAUUUUCGUGAAUUUCUAUUUAAACACUGAAUGUAAAACUGUGAUGUGAAUGGUGAAUGUAUGAAUGUAUAGUUAUCUUUAUAUUCAUUUGGUUGUGGUUGUUUCCUGGCUAUACUCUUGUACUUGUGCGACGCCAUGCAAAUACAGGGGAGACUCUAUCCGUGUGAACAGUGGAUUCCCUGUAUUUGUGGCGGAUCUGGCAUACCCUGGGGUCAGGUUUGCAAAAAAAAAAAAAAAAUUUCCGCUGUGUUUUUAACCUAAAGGGACCCCGGGGCGUGACAAUAUAAUUAUAACUACCGCGUUUUCAACUUUAUAUAUUUCCAUCUAGAUCAAUUUACAAUUAUAGCCGGCCAAAUGGCCCCUAGGAGCAAAUCUAGAAUAUUUUUAAGAAAGAAUAUUAACUUUUGCAUCAUUUUAAGCGAUGGGGCAGUAAAAUUGAUGAUUACUACUAUUAAACAUAAUUAUUACUAUUUGAAUUUUCUAGUACUCAAAAUUUAAAAUUUUAAGACAUUGUUUAUUUACACUUUAUUUGUUUGGUUGGGGUAUAAGGGAAAGAAUAAGACCUUACUUCCCCUUGUAUCCAAAUAAAAAAAGAGAGAUGUGGGAACUCCGGGAGAAAGAGAGAGAGAGAGAAUUAUAAAUUUAUUACAAAAUUUAUAAUUUCUAAUUUUAAAUUUACAAUUUACAAUUUUUUAAAUUUUUAAAUUUUUAAAUUUAAAUUUUGUUAUUUUAUAUUUUUUAAAUUUAAAUUUGAUCUUAAAUUUAAAUUUUAAAAUUAAAAUUCUAAAUUUUGAAAUUUACAAUUUAAGAUUUUAAAUUUUAAAAUUCAAAUAUGAAAUUUAAAAAUUCAAAUUUAAAUUUAAUAAGAGGGGUAAUAUUGUUAUUUUUUAUUUAUAACAACCCAUUACUCCUCUUGUUCUAUCUUAUCUAUCCAAACGCUAUAUUUUUUAUUCCCAGAAACAAUCCAAUUUUCAUCCGAACGCAAAAAUAGUCUAGUUUUUAUUUAUACCUGAACUUAUAUUUAUCUUUGAAAUAACGGUUCUUGUUUAAACCC